rnacentral:tRNA from 1 species
GGUUCCUUAGCUCAGCUGGAUAGAGCAACUGCCUUCUAAGCAGUAGGUCGCAGGUUCGAAUCCUGCAGGGACCACCA